CAGUCGCCACGGGAAUACGUAGGUGGCAAGCGUUGUCCGGAAUUAUUGGGCGUAAAGGGCUCGCAGGCGGUUUCUUAAGUCUGAUGUGAAAGCCCCCGGCUCAACCGGGGAGGGUCAUUGGAAACUGGGAAACUUGAGUGCAGUAGAGGAGAGUGGAAUUCCACGUGUAGCGGUGAAAUGCGUAGAGAUGUGGAGGAACACCAGUGGCGAAGGCGACUCUCUGGUCUGUAACUGACGCUGAGGAGCGAAAGCGUGGGGAGCGAACAGGAUUAGAUACCCGUGUAGUCCCUGUCUCUUAUAC
rnacentral:rRNA from 1 species